rnacentral:rRNA from 1 species
ACGGGAAGAGCCCAAACCAACAAGCUUGCUUGUUGGGGUUGUAGGACACUCUAUACGGAGUUACAAAGGACGACAUUAGACGAAUCAUCUGGAAAGAUGAAUCAAAGAAGGUAAUAAUCCUGUAGUCGAAAAUGUUGUCUCUCUUGAGUGGAUCCUGAGUACGACGGAGCACGUGAAAUUCCGUCGGAAUCUGGGAGGACCAUCUCCUAAGGCUAAAUACUCUCUAGUGACCGAUAGUGAACCAGUACCGUGAGGGAAAGGUGAAAAGCACCCCGGAAGGGGAGUGAAAUAGAACCUGAAACCGUGUGCUUACAAGUAGUCAGAGCCCGUUAAUGGGUGAUGGCGUGCCUUUUGUAGAAUGAACCGGCGAGUUACGAUUUGAUGCAAGGUUAAGCAGUAAAUGUGGAGCCGUAGCGAAAGCGAGUCUGAAUAGGGCGUUUAGUAUUUGGUCGUAGACCCGAAACCAGGUGAUCUACCCUUGGUCAGGUUGAAGUUCAGGUAACACUGAAUGGAGGACCGAACCGACUUACGUUGAAAAGUGAGCGGAUGAACUGAGGGUAGCGGAGAAAUUCCAAUCGAACCUGGAGAUAGCUGGUUCUCUCCGAAAUAGCUUUAGGGCUAGCCUCAAGUGAUGAUUAUUGGAGGUAGAGCACUGUUUGGACGAGGGGCCCCUCUCGGGUUACCGAAUUCAGACAAACUCCGAAUGCCAAUUAAUUUAACUUGGGAGUCAGAACAUGGGUGAUAAGGUCCGUGUUCGAAAGGGAAACAGCCCAGACCACCAGCUAAGGUCCCAAAAUAUAUGUUAAGUGGAAAAGGAUGUGGCGUUGCCCAGACAACUAGGAUGUUGGCUUAGAAGCAGCCAUCAUUUAAAGAGUGCGUAAUAGCUCACUAGUCGAGUGACACUGCGCCGAAAAUGUACCGGGGCUAAACAUAUUACCGAAGCUGUGGAUUGUCCUUUGGACAAUGGUAGGAGAGCGUUCUAAGGGCGUUGAAGCAUGAUCGUAAGGACAUGUGGAGCGCUUAGAAGUGAGAAUGCCGGUGUGAGUAGCGAAAGACGGGUGAGAAUCCCGUCCACCGAUUGACUAAGGUUUCCAGAGGAAGGCUCGUCCGCUCUGGGUUAGUCGGGUCCUAAGCUGA